CCCCAUUCAGGAAUCCGUCGAUGGUACCCUGCUGAACUUAAGCAUAUCAAUAAGCGGAGGAAAAGAAACCAACAGGGAUUGCCUUAGUAACUGCGAGUGAAGCGGCAAAAGCUCAAAUUUGAAAUCUGCGUGCUUAGGUACGUCGAGUUGUAAUCUUGAGAUGCGUUUUCGACCGACGGGCCUGCCUUAAGUCCCUUGGAACAGGGCGUCACAGAGGGUGAGAAUCCCGUGAACGGUAGGCCUCGAGGCGUAUGAUACGUAUUCGACGAGUCGAGUUGUUUGGGAAUGCAGCUCAAAAUGGGUGGUAAAUUUCAUCUAAAGCUAAAUAUUGGGGAGAGACCGAUAGCGCACAAGUAGAGUGAUCGAAAGAUGAAAAGCACUUUGAAAAGAGAGUUAAAAAGUACGUGAAAUUGUUGAAAGGGAAGCGCUUGAGACCAGACUCAUUCACCGUUGAUCAACUCCAGUUCUCUGGCGUGCACUCGGCGGUGUUUGGGACAGCAUCGGUUCCGACGGAGGGAUAAAGCCUCAGGAAAUGUGGCACCCUUCGGGGUGUGUUAUAGACCUCCGGGCAAUGCCUCCAGUCGGGACCGAGGACCGCGCUUCGGCUAGGAUGCUGUCAUAAUGGCCUUCAGCGACCCGUCUUGAAACACGGACCAAGGAGUCUAACAUCUAUGCGAGUGUUCGGGUGGAAAACCCUGCGCGUAAGAAGGAACGAGGAU
rnacentral:rRNA from 1 species